rnacentral:lncRNA from 10 species
GAAAAAGGCCUGGGAAUUGCAUUUAAGCAAGGGAAGGCAUUAGCCCAUUGGGAAGAGUGAACAACUUCUUCAAGUUCAAAGGGUUCAGGGGAACCUGGGCAUCCAAGAUUUGUGGAUGAAGUUUUGUGUUUGCUCUACUGACCUGAAGUGAGGAACAACCACAUACAUCUUUGUCUUCACUCUGUCCAGCUGUCAACUGCAUUGUUCCCUCACGUCUUCCUGCAAAGUACCAUUAUUUCCACACCUUAAGAAUUAAAGAGUGAAGAGAAAACGACAAAAUGUUCUUGUUUAUCAGGAGAUGGGGGUGAGCUGAGCUUUCCACAAGGUCCUGAAUGGAUGAGAAGGACCCAAAACAUAUGGAAAAUAUGGAGAAUAGGGUAUAAGUAAUAAAAAUAAAAAUAAAAUAAAUAAAAUAAAUUGGGAAU